UGAGCGUUUCGUCGGACUGUCGGUAAUGGAAGCUGAAGAAUCUGUGCCUGCAAGAAAGAACAGAAAAGGCAAAAAAAAUGGUGAAAUAUUAAGUGCUCAAGUUAACUUCGUACAAUUUUGCAGACGCUCUGGAAUGCGUAGUGGUCAGUAAAAUAGGACAAAAGCAAGAAAAACUGAUCGCCGCGGCCACUUUUUGCCAAACAAACAAUUGUUCAAACUGCCAUCAUCCAAUUGUUUACUGAUUGCAAAGUGGCAGUAGUCUUGUAGAGAUUAUGGUGAAGUAUAUAUCACUUAGUCCGAACACAUUGAAUGCCGCAGACAUAUCCAGCUAAAGAGGCAGCAUACACAUCUGAAAGUUAACGGACUCAGUGUAUAGAACUUAUGAAAGAAAUAUAAGCUAAUAAGAGGGAGAUCUCAUUAACAUCGUAUAUUUGGAUAUGCUAUCAUACAGCAACUGUCAAAACAAACGAAUUCAGAAGAGCUCAUGUUGAACUCGUGAAUUACUGUCUUCAUCUGACAUCAACUGCAAAAACUAAACUCAAAGAAGCACUGUAACCAUUCUUCAGUGAUUCGGAAAACUUUCAGGCCAAAUAUUUAGUAAGCUGUAAUGUAAAAUGUAGUAAUGAGAAUAAGUCAUGUAAAAAAUACUGUAACAAGUAGAUCAUCUAUCGAUACAGUCUCAUCAUCUCUUUAGUUCCUAGCUUUCUUUGAAAUCAUUAAUAAACAAGUGGUUUACAAAUUAUUCAAUUAACAAGUUCUUUAAAGGAUUCUCUGGAAUAUUCAUGUAAAACUAUUUUUUUUGAACAGCUGGCCACUUUAUCUCGAAAACCGCUUGGUCGAUUUCAAUGAAAUUCAAACGGGAAACAUUUUAAAACAUGAAAACCUAGUACCUGAACGAACGAUUUGUUUUCUGUUUUAAUUUCGAUUACUUUAUAAAAAUUUAACUAUUGUUUUUUCCCGAAAAUCUGAGGCCGCCGUUUUGUUAAUUUAAAAAAAGCUUCCAUCAUCUAUCUUCGAAAUGGUUACCGCUCGGUAGGAACUGGAUCAAUAAACAGCCUUUACUUUUAAAAUUACUAAUUUUUUUUUUUUUAAUCUCUGCCAAGAAGAUCUCAACUUUGAUGAAGCUAAGUUUUUGCUUCUGAAAAAUAAAGUAAUUUACUGGCAAACAAAAAAUGUAUAAAAUAAAAUGAUUUAUUGGUGCAGUGAACCUGGAAUAAUGUGUGUACCUAAAAAUGUUCAGAAGAGCAAGGCCAAAUAUACUUUUAUACUAUCAAAGUUCUUGAGAAUAUAUAUAAGUAUCUCAUAUGGUUAUCUUAUAUUUUGAGCACAGAAAAAAGGUCUUAAUUCUAACUCAAAUAAGUUAAUUUAUAAUUUUAUUAAUGUCUGGGGCAAAGAAUUAAUAAGCAAAAUUCUCUUGAAUAACUGCAGAAGAGUUCAAUCAGUAGAGAAUUACGAAACCUUUAUCAAAUUUCAAUUUUCCAUUUUGCAUUUUGCAGUUUCAAGCAAAUUCUUCUUUAUGCAUAUUAUUUCCACAUUUCGUUCCCGACAUACCUUCCUAUAAGCUUAAAUAACAAGAACCAAUGAUGAGUAAGAAAGAAAGCUUAAAAGGGAACAAAAAAGCUAACCGCAAAUUAUAACCUGCGCUCUAUCGAAGAAAAAAGAAAAACAAACCAGCGUUAAAACAUAAUUGAAACAAAAAGUAGACUACCGGAGCACUAAGGUACUUGUGCCAGCAUACCGCAUGCCAUAGUGCAACAAAUACCUUGCCACAUUUGUCACAAACAACACAAAAGUCAAAUAUUCUUACGAGCGUGUCUCAGAUAGAUUAAGGUUAAUAGUAGACAAGGCAGAGACAAUUGUAAUAGAACACAAAUGCAGCGACGAGUCCAAAGAAAGUACGAACGAAGAACACUGGGCCACCAAUUUGUGGCUGGGUGAGUACUUAGGAAAAUAACUUAAUAGUUUUGCAGAUGCUCACCGCGCGACAAUGUGGCGUGAAUUUCUUUGUCGCAUUCUGGCGGUGUCCAUAAUUGCCGCGCCACUAUUAGAAUGCAGCAAACGGCAAUAGGCACCUAUAAUUGAUGCUUCUCAGCCAAACACCCAACCGCAACAAUGUACAUACAUACAUCGAUAAGUACGUAAGUACUCUCUUUUUCAGUAUCAUCACACUGUGCCGCCAUGUGCCACCUGACGGCAGCGGAAGACACUACAAAAGAGACAACAGCAGCCAAUACAACGCAUCAACCUUAAACAAUUGUUACCGCUAUUCUAUUGCCAUACAUAUUACAGCUAUCAGUCAUCAUAUUAACCCAUAUUUUCACGCAUCAAAUUAAUGCGGCACAAAAAGAACCGCUGUAGAGCGCUUAGCGCUUAGAAUAGUGAUGUGGCCCACAGACAACACAAAGGCGUCUAAAGUUUAAUAAUUUAGUUGGAAUUUCACAUUCGCAAAAGCCCUUCUCGCAUUAGAGGCAUGUUCUAUUGUUCAUUUCUUAUUGCUCUGCUUUCUUUUACUACUAUAAAAACGUCGCGCCAACUGACACUGAAAUGUUCGGGUUAACGAGCUACACGUCGUCACUGGCUGAAAUGUUAACUAGCUCGAAAUGUGUGUGCAAUAAAGUUCAGCGCCCGUGGUCGUAUACGGGUGAGCAUAUUAACAGCUCUUGCAGCUUGUUUACAAAAUCGCUGGCUGUUCUUAGCUUUUGGGCUUUAUGAGUUUGUUUUUCCCCAUUUUUUUAAUUUUUAUGCCCUAAACAGUGUAAAUUAAGUUUGUCAGGAAGUUGCUAACUUUUAGAAGGAAACGUCGAAGACACUAUAAAUAUAUAUAAAAAUGAUUAACGUGACGAGAUGAGUCGAUUCGCCUGUCUGUCCUUCUGUCUGUCUGUAUAUGCGAGUAAAUUCGAGAUAUCGAUCUGAAAUUUUGCACAUGUCCUUUUUUCUCCAAGUAGCUGCUCAUUUGUUGGAAGCGCCUAUACCACUGUAGGAUAUAACUGCCAUAAAAAAUGAUCGAUCAAACUAAGGUCGCUGUAUGGAAAACUUUUUUAUUUGACCAGUUAUCUUCACAGAACAGAAUACUAUCAAAGGCAGCGCUACAGUUUCCAAAGAAAUUGUUCAGAUCGGACCACUAUAGCUUACAGCUGCCAUACAAACUGGCCGAUCAAAAUCUGAAUAAAAAUCGUUUAAUACCCUUUUAUGCUUUCAAAAAUGGUCCUGUGAAGGGCAUUAUAGCUUCGGUGCAGCCGAAUUUAACGUUUUUUCUGGUUUCAUUUUCAUUUUUAGAGAAAUUUCGCAAACAAAACGCUUAGCGUUUCCAAUGUUUACGCGCUUAAUGGACGUUUUUCUGCAACCAGUUUUUGGAGUUCCAUUUUAAACUUUUACACAAGUCUGUGAAGAAUUGAACAUACGUACAUGUGUAUUCAGUGUUCGUACUCAUUCAUCGCUUUGACCUAUUGAGCAGUCAGCAGCCUGGAAUGCUUAUAGUAAUAAUAAACAACGCCAAAGAAGAUUUAUUAAUGACUUGCGAGUUCGCUGAUAACCACUUAUGCUACAUAAAAACCUACUCAUACGAGUAUGUACCAUAUACUCAUAUGUAUGUAAUGGUAUAUCCAUUUAGUUAUGUCGAACAGUUGAUUUCACGUUUGAUAAUUCUACAACGACACGGCUUGUUUGGCACCUAAAAAGGGGUUAAUUGCCCUCCGGUGAUACACCAGGGUAUGGUGUACUUUAAAUUUUCUGAAGCGAAAAGUUGAUCAUGAAACUUGAUAUAAGUUAGUUUAUUUAUUUAGUAAUUGAAAGUCAGUUUUAGUUGCUCAAGGUAAAAGUGAUUUUCUCUUUAUAGAAAUGUUUCUAUAACCACUAAAUUUAUAACAACAAGAAAACGAAGAAAAUCUCUGUUAUUCAACGAAUUCAAACUGUCAAAAGUUGUUUGGUUGGCCCUGUCAAAUCGAACACCCUAUUUGUCGACGCUUCUUCUAAUCAUUCUUCAAUCUAUUCAUUCGUGUACAAUUGACUCUGAUUCGAAAUUAGUAAACCAAUAUACAACUCUACUGGAGCUAUGCGACGUUUCCCCAAUUUUGCUUAUUUACUUCUUGAACCUUUCUCUAUUUGAAAACAUAUAUAAUACAAUAUCAUAACCAUUUUCUUCUCAUUUCAAGUGGUAUCUUUUGGUGAUUUUUACUGAAAAUAUAUAAUGUACCAUAUACCGAUCGAUUUGUUUGUUUUAGAAUGUAUCACUAUACUUUAAUAUUUCACAACAAAGUCAUAAGGAGUUAGGAGCAUGGUUGCAAAUAAUGCAUUGCCAAAUAAUUGACUUAAACUUUUUUUUAUUUUGUAAUCUAAAAUACGGGAUUAAAAAUUAAAAUAAACUUCCGGAUUGAAAAAUUAAAAAGAAACAAGUAAGGAAAGGCUAAGUUCGGAUGUA